UACUAGUAAAGAAGAGACUUGGAGAAGGU
rnacentral:piRNA from 1 species